UUAUGCAAUGGGAAGGUGUUAGGCACCCAAAGCAUCUUAGGUACUCCUAGGGAUCCCUUUUCAUGCUUGUUGCAAAAGGUUAUUGUUUAUGAAAAUUUAUUUGUGCAAACAUGAUUGAAGAGAUGAGAAAAGAAUAUACAAGUUUAUUUACAUUUUGUGUUCGGAUGGAUGAAUCCAUUGCCUACGUACCUUCUUAUAAAAAGAAUAGGAUCAAAACCUCGUUGUUCGGCUAAAAGAUUU
rnacentral:lncRNA from 1 species